GGAGGAGUGCCUGAGUGGUCCAAAGGAGCGGUUUGCUAAACCGUGCCUCAUUGUUUUGGGGCCGUGGGUUCGAAUCCCACCUCCUCCGCCA
rnacentral:tRNA from 1 species